GCGCCGGUGGUGGCGCUGGUGUUGGCGGCCUUCGUGCUGGGCGCCGCGCUGGCUGCCGGGCUCGGCCUCGUCUGUGCGCAUUCAGGUAGCAACCUCCGCCGGGGCCCCCAGCCGAGUCCUGACCCCGGGGCGCCGCGACCCAGCGGGUGGGGCCGGACCAUCCCCAGCCCCGCCUCCGCUACGCCCGCAGCGGCCCCCAGGGGGCGCUCUUGCCCCGACGCAAUGAGCCGCAAGCCCUGCCGCUCUGGAGCCUGCCUCUCCUUCCCAGCACCCCCAGCCCCCGGCGCCGCCCCGAGAGACCCGCCCAGCGGCCCCCAGCCCAGGAGGCCCCAGUGAGAUUGAUGGAGGAGGCCAGUGAUCAGCUGGGAAGGGGGUAGCCCCUUCCCAAGGCUGGCGCGCCCCCAGCAGGGUCCUGAGACAUACCAGCCACGCCUCGAACCAAGGCCGCCAGGACUGGGCCGGCCGAGGUCGACUUCGGACCCGAUGGGACCACUAUCCCAGCGUCCCGCACCUCCCGCCCCCGCCCCGCUCCUCUACACACCCUCCCAUCUGGUCUCAAAAUAAACAUCUGGUCUGACCUGCUGA